UCCCUGGAGGUUAGUGGUUAGACCUCGGCCACUGCCACGGCCCAGGUUCGAUUCCAGGCCAGGGAA
rnacentral:tRNA from 1 species